AGAGUUUGAUCAUGGCUCAGGACGAACGCUGGCGGCGUGCUUAACACAUGCAAGUCGAGCGAUGAGAUCACUUCGGUGAAGGAUUAGCGGCGAACGGGUGAGGAACACGUGAAGAAUCUGCCUUCAACUCUGGGAUAACUCCGGGAAACCGGGGCUAAUACCGGAUAUGAGCCUUGAUCGCAUGAUCGGGGCUGGAAAGUUUUUCGGUUGAAGAUGACUUCGCGGCCUAUCAGCUUGUUGGUGAGGUAAUGGCUCACCAAGGCGACGACGGGUAGCCGGCCUGAGAGGGCGACCGGCCACACUGGGACUGAGACACGGCCCAGACUCCUACGGGAGGCAGCAGUGGGGAAUAUUGGGCAAUGGAGGAAACUCUGACCCAGCGACGCCGCGUGCGGGAUGAAGGCCUUCGGGUUGUAAACCGCUUUCAGCAGGGAAUAAGCGCAAGUGAAGGUACCUGCAGAAGAAGCACCGGCUAACUAUGUGCCAGCAGCCGCGGUAAUACAUAGGGUGCAAGCGUUGUCCGGAAUUAUUGGGCGUAAAGAGCUCGUAGGUGGUUUGUUACGUCGGUUGUGAAAUUCAGGGGCUCAACCCCUGACUUGCAGCCGAUACGGGCAAGCUAGAGUUUGGUAGGGGAGACUGGAAUUCCUGGUGUAGCGGUGGAAUGCGCAGAUAUCAGGAGGAACACCGAUGGCGAAGGCAGGUCUCUGGGCCAAUACUGACACUGAGGAGCGAAAGCGUGGGGAGCGAACAGGAUUAGAUACCCUGGUAGUCCACGCCGUAAACGGUGGGCGCUAGUUGUGCGAACCUUCCACGGU
rnacentral:rRNA from 1 species